CUAGGCAAAAACUCGCUUUCGUUUCUUUAUCCUUUGAAUUUUGUUUUCUUGAUGAAGUUCUGAAGCAGGAAAAAAUCUCUUUCACCAUCCGUUGGGGCAUAGAGAAUCAUAGAGAUUUUGAAGAUAAUACGAAGCCAGGUCCAGCCUUUACCUUUUUCCACAUGGCUUGAAAAUGAAGGUGAUAUUGGUGCCCUUUUGAGGUCCCAAAGUGGAGAACUACUCUGCAAGCCGUAGGAUACAGCUCAUUUAUGGCCAGUCCCCACUACUCCACAACAACGGAAAAAUGGGACAACUGAGAAGAAUCAAUGAGAAAUUGCCUAUCGUUUUCUAAUUAUGAGGUCUGAUAAAUGGGAUGUCUCGUUCUCCUGUUCCAACAGGAACACCAUGUUUUACUGGUUCAUUGUUCUCUUCCUAUCAUUUCAUUAAAAAAAUACUAUAAGAUUGCUUUCAGGUUUAAUUCAUACACCACCACUUGUUCAAGUUGAUGGAAUUGACCCUUUUGUACUGUUUUUACAUGAAUUCCAAUCUUUUGAUGUUACAUUGAUUCUUAACAUGUUAUACAUGAAUAGUUUGCCCUCUUGUUUGGCUUGCUUCUACAAAGAUGUCAACUUUAAACAUAAGCAAUGUCUGUUUGUAUGAGAAGAUUUCAACAUCAAGGGAAAUUUAAUACAAAAUUGGGCUAUCUUUCAUUA